UACAGCUAGUGCAGCGGUUUCAAGCAAAGAGGACACAGUUGACGAAAAACGGACUAGUGAUGACAUAACAUCAAUUGCGGUCUAUGGCAAGGAAUUUGUGUACAGAACAACACCAGCGAAACAUGUAUAUAGCAGUGGAAGUUCAAGUCAUAUACAUUCGGCUAAGCUUG